rnacentral:rRNA from 1 species
GGCGAACGCUGGCGGCGUGCUUAACACAUGCAAGUCGAACGGAAAGGCCCCAGCUUGCUGGGGUACUCGAGUGGCGAACGGGUGAGUAACACGUGGGUGAUCUGCCCUGCACUCUGGGAUAAGCCUGGGAAACUGGGUCUAAUACCGGAUAGGACCGUGCUUUAGUGUGUGCGGUGGAAAGUUUUUCGGUGCAGGAUGAGCCCGCGGCCUAUCAGCUUGUUGGUGGGGUAAUGGCCUACCAAGGCGGCGACGGGUAGCCGGCCUGAGAGGGUGUACGGCCACAUUGGGACUGAGACACGGCCCAGACUCCUACGGGAGGCAGCAGUGGGGAAUAUUGCACAAUGGGCGCAAGCCUGGUGCAGCGACGCCGCGUGGGGGAUGACGGCCUUCGGGUUGUAAACCCCUUUCGGCAGGGACGAAGCUUUUGUGACGGUACCUGCAUAAGAAGCACCGGCUAACUACGUG